rnacentral:rRNA from 1 species
AGCAUAUCAAUAAGCGGAGGAAAAGAAACCAACCGGGAUUGCCUCAGUAACGGCGAGUGAAGCGGCACAAGCUCAAAUUUGAAAUCUGGCCCUCUCAGGGUCCGAGUUGUAAUUUGUAGAAGAUGUUUCAGGUGUGGCCCCGGUCUAAGUUCCUUGGAACAGGACGUCAUAGAGGGUGAGAAUCCCGUAUGUGACUGGGUGCCUAUGCCUAUGUGAAACUCUUUCGACGAGUCGAGUUGUUUGGGAAUGCAGCUCAAAAUGGGUGGUAAAUUUCAUCUAAAGCUAAAUAUUGGCCAGAGACCGAUAGCGCACAAGUAGAGUGAUCGAAAGAUGAAAAGCACUUUGGAAAGAGAGUUAAACAGUACGUGAAAUUGUUGAAAGGGAAGCGCUUGCAAUCAGACUUGCACUGGGGCGAUCAUCCGGGGUUCUCCCCGGUGCACUCGUCCCGGCGCAGGCUAGCAUCGGUUUCUGUGGCUGGAUAAAGGCCUUGGGAAUGUGGCCCCUCUCGAGGGGUGUUAUAGCCCUCGGUGCAAUGCAGCCUACGGGGACCGAGGACCGCGCUUCGGCUAGGAUGCUGGCGUAAUGGUUGUAAGCGACCCGUCUUGAAACACGGACCAAGGAGUCUAACAUCUAUGCGAGUGUUUGGGUGUCAAACCCAUCCGCGUAAUGAAAGUGAACGGAGGUGAGAACCUUGAAGGGUGCAUCAUCGACCGAUCCUGAUGUCUUCGGAUGGAUUUGAGUAAGAGCAUAGCUGUUGGGACCCGAAAGAUGGUGAACUAUGCGUGAAUAGGGUGAAGCCAGAGGAAACUCUGGUGGAGGCUCGCAGCGGUUCUGACGUGCAAAUCGAUCGUCAAAUUUGCGUAUAGGGGCGAAAGACUAAUCGAACCAUCUAGUAGCUGG